UACGGAGGAAAAGGAAACCAACAGGGAUUGCCUCAGUAACGGCGAGUGAAGCGGCAAAAGCUCAAAUUUGAAAUCUAGCACCUUCGGUGUUCGAGUUGUAAUUUGAAGAUGGUAACCUUGGGUUUGGCUCUUGUCUAUGUUCCUUGGAACAGGACGUCAUAGAGGGUGAGAAUCCCGUCUGAUGAGAUGCCCAUUCCUAUGUAAGGUGCUAUCGAAGAGUCGAGUUGUUUGGGAAUGCAGCUCUAAGUGGGUGGUAAAUUCCAUCUAAAGCUAAAUAUUGGCGAGAGACCGAUAGCGAACAAGUACAGUGAUGGAAAGAUGAAAAGAACUUUGAAAAGAGAGUGAAAAAGUACGUGAAAUUGUUGAAAGGGAAGGGCAUUAGAUCAGACUUGGUGUUUUACGAUUAUCUUCUCUUCUUGAGUUGUGCACUCGUAUUUCACUGGGCCAGCAUCGAUUCGGAUGGCAAGAUAAUGGCAGUUGAAUGUGGCUUCACUUCGGUGGAGUGUUAUAGCUUCUGCUGAUAUUGCCUGUCUGGAUCGAGGGCUGCGUCUUUG
rnacentral:rRNA from 1 species